GGAUAGCUCAGUUGGUUAGAGCGUGGUGCUCAUAGUGCCAAGGCUGCAGGUUCAAUCCCCAUAUGCAACA
rnacentral:tRNA from 1 species